rnacentral:lncRNA from 1 species
GGGAAGGGGCAGCACAUGGCCUCUGAGGAAGGCCAGCUGUCUCUAGGAUCUGUGCUCUUACCCACUGUGCUUUUUUGGCUCUGCAGAGGCGAGACCUGGCGGGAGGAGAGGAAGAAGCAGAGACUGGAGCCUUUCCUGCCACUGAGCCCUCUUCCUGGGACGUCGCUCCGGACAUGGAUGUGGCGUGGCUCAGUGAAUUUUGCUGGUUCUGGGUUCCCUGCUCCCUGCAGUCUGAGUUUUCAUCCCGCAGCACCAUCUGAGAAUCAGGAAGCAGAGACGGCACGAAGCUGGCUGUGAUAGCAGCAGUCGUGGCCAUGGUGUGGAUGGAAAGCUGAUGCCCAGCAGGACUCUGUGUUCAGUGUGCUUGUGGUCAGGUAGGGGACGAAGAGGCUGGUACACAAAUGGGUGACGUGAAAGGAGGUCAUGACAGAGAUGGAGGUAAGAGGCCCCUCCCUCCCCACUCAUGAGGGGCAUAUGGAAAUGAGGACCCCUGGGCUUCAGAUGCUGCUUUCUCAGCAAAGUAAUGGGAAACCACUGUCUCUCUGUCCUCAGUUGACAAGUUCCAUUUGGGAAACCUAAUCAGGUCUUCUUUGUCUUCUUACUCCCAGGACACAGUAGACACAGGGCUUGGAUCCUCAGUAUAAUGUUUCCUCCUUCUCCAUGGUAAAGAUGAUGUGUCUUGCAGACCAAGAUGUUUGAGUUGCAGUGAGAAAUGGAUACUCCAGGGCAGGUGUGGGAAGGACACUGCCCCACCCACCCAGACAUGGGAAGGGCACCUCUGAUGGAAGGCAAACAGGUGAAGAGAGAGAUGGGGGCCCCUCUGUGAAUAGAUGGAAGAACAGCUGGGAGGAGAAAGGUUUGCCCAGAGGAAGAUGAUGGUUGCUGAUGGGCUCUGAUUGGCCAGUUUUCCUCCGAUGCUUCUUACAUCCUCUCCAGGUUCCUAAAGUAAUCUCACAACCUUCCAUGUGGAAUGACAGGACAUUUCCAUGAUGAUGGCUGUAAUUCUUGAUCCUCACCACCCUGCAAUUGAUUUGCUGAAGCCGCUGGUGAGAGUGGGGCAGGAGGUGGGAGGAGAAUGAGGCAUAGGCACCUUGCCACCCUCUGUCU